rnacentral:rRNA from 1 species
GACGAACGCUGGCGGCGUGCCUAAUACAUGCAAGUAGAACGCACAGUUUAUACCGUAGCUUGCUACACCAUAGACUGUGAGUUGCGAACGGGUGAGUAACGCGUGGGUAACCUGCCUGGUAGCGGGGGAUAACUAUUGGAAACGAUAGCUAAUACCGCAUAAUAUUAAUUAUUGCAUGAUAAUUGAUUGAAAGAUGCAACUGCAUCACUACCAGAUGGACCUGCGUUGUAUUAGCUAGUAGGUGAGGUAACGGCUCACCUAGGCGACGAUACAUAGCCGACCUGAGAGGGUGAUCGGCCACACUGGGACUGAGACACGGCCCAGACUCCUACGGGAGGCAGCAGUAGGGAAUCUUCGGCAAUAGACGAAAGUCUGACCGAGCAACGCCGCGUGAGUGAAGAAGGUUGUCGGAUCGUAAAGCUCUGUUGUAAGAGAAGAACGGGUGUGAGAGUGGAAAGUUCACACUGUGACGGUAUCUUACCAGAAAGGGACGGCUAACUACGUG